rnacentral:lncRNA from 1 species
AGUGAAACUUGCGAAUCAGCUAAUAUUUCAUAGCCACAAUUCAAGUACAGAAAUCCCCCGGUUUCUGCUUUCUCCUUAGGUGUGUGGAUGUUACAAAAAUAUACCUACAAGCUUUGGGGCCAUGGAUCUUCUUAAUCUGAGCAGAAUCGUUCAUCUCUGUGUUCAUCUCACAGAGGUUACAGGCAUAUCCACUUAUGCAAGACGAGACCUCCUCUUCGAAUGGAGUGCCCCCAUACACGGAGGGUUAGCGCUGGGCUCAGAUCUGUUUCUCACAUAUUCUACACAGUGCAGAGCUCAGCACAUUUGCACCCAGGGUCCCGCUACACUGGGAUUUAAAGUAGACAUACAGGACAUAUUUAUCUGUGGAAAUACAGAAUGCAUCCAUUUUAGUUUAGCUUAAUAAUUUGAAAAACAAACUCUCUUUCCUUUUACUCCUGUCUUGUUUUGCUGUUUUCUUCUCUUCCAUCACCCCCUAAAUUUUCUCUCUUUUUUCCUGACAAGGACCCUGAUCCAGUCUCCCCCUCAAAGCGUCCCACUCACCGGCUGAUUCGGGCCAGGAUCCACCUCUGCUCUGCAAACCCUGGCCCCUUCCUCUGCUGCCCUGGACCCCAGCGUGGCCAGGGGCUGCUGCUUUUUCCUGUGCAGUCUUCCCAGGCCACUGGCCCCAGCUGUGUUCAGGCUCCGGUGCAGGACUGGCGCUGGUCUGGCGGGAGGCUGUGAGGCUGCCUCAAAGCCAGGACAGGGCAGGGAAAGCAGGAGGGUGGCAGUCAGAGCCUGGUGCCUGUACAGCUCGGCUCUUAAGGACAGCCCAGCGCCGUGACUUUUCCAUAAAUAAAAGGCCCAGCCCCACCGUUCCCAUGUCCUUUUGGGCCCUAAUUUAUAAGCUACAGAAAAUCAUAUACUCAGCCGCCAUGCUUCGUAACACCAUUAUUUAUGGCAGGGGAGGAGACUUCUUUUUUUUUUUUUUUUUGCCCGAAGAGGAUAUUUAUUACAGGUAAAGCCCACGGCACACUCCACACGUCUGACAAAUCGAGAACAGGUGCUUUGCCCUAACUUCGAUCCAUUCGCUCCAGACCCAGUUUUCUCGCUGGCGAGUCUGGGGAGCUCCCUGACUUCCCCAAGCCCCCAGAUGCUACUUAAAAGAAUUUCCAUUGGAUUUUGGUUUCUCCCCGCUUGGUCCUACGGAAAAAGCAGACCUUCACGCUGUUUGGUUCCAGAUCUGCGGGCCCAUCGCCCUCGGAGAGAGCUUGGGUUAGGAGGGGGCCAGCUGGGCGCCAGCAUUGAUCUUUAAAAAAUCAUUUUGAAAUCGCC